AUAAAUAUCUGGAUGAGGACCAAUUUCUUACUGCUUAAUUCUCAAAAAACAGAGGUGUUAAUUGUAUUCAUGCGACGAACAACCGUAUAAGUCCAAAAAAACAAAAAUUGAGAUAACCAUGUGACUUCAAUGUAUGUGUGCCACUUUGUAUACAGAAUCACUUUGGGGGGUGUUCGCGCGACCAAAACUCUGAAUUUAAAAUUUUAAAAUAGUCUCACGCGGAAAAACCGAUUAUGUCCAGUAACGAAAAAUGGAGACGCCGGUUGCUUUCAUGUCCGCUGCGGACAUUAAUAGACAAAACGUCGGCAAAAAAAGGAGAGCGAACAUGAAUGAAUGGAAGGACAGGGCAAGGAAGUCUCUGAGGGAUGCUGGGAAAGCAUAUGUGAACUGGAGAGGAGAGCAAAAACGAGGAAAAAGUCCACCAAAAGAGGUGAGUGAAAAACCGUAUACAAAGUAUCUACAUAAAGUUAGCGGUUACAGACAGAGGGUCAUCGUCUACUACAGUUCAUUCAUAUAGCUCACUCUUUUUAAAGGUUCAAGUCAUGUCGUAUGAAAGCUGAGAAAAUUAGGAUUCAGGGGACGUUUUAAACAUGUCUCUCUACUCCUCAUAAUCACGGAGAAAUGAAUCGAAACGCUUUAGGGAAAGGCGUGCAAGGAGACAUGUCCCAGGCAGUGUUCAAGCCUAACAGACCAAAGAAAACUCCAGCUCUUCACAGAGUUUUAUGCUGUCUCUUAUGAGAGGCAGCAGGCUAUCAUUCUCUCUGGUUUGGAGCAGGUAUGCUAACUUAAGCAAUUCAUGACCAUAUCAUGUCAACAGUAUGCAAUGCAUUACAAUGUAGGCCCAUAAAAUAACCAGUGAAUUGAAUACUACUGUAUGCCUUCAAUUCACUAAGACUGCACAUGUGCCUGAUCACUGAUCAUCCCAAUAUGUCUUUUUACUUCUAGCACAAGGUGAGUCGCAGAGGACCACGUGGGCCCGACACUGAGAAUACUAAGAGGAAGUACACCUUCAAGUACCAUGUGCAACAAGGAGGUCAAAGACUUGCUGUUUGUAAGCUCACAUUUAUGUCCGUCUUUCAACUGACCAACAGUCGCCUACAGGCAAGUUUUAAACAGCCUAGCUUUUUCCGUUUGUUAACUUUUUAUUACAUGCAUGAUUUUAAUUAGAUACAUUGUCCAUAACAUAUUUAUUUAAAGUUACUUAUCUUUGAAAAGGUUAUUCAAGAAAAGUUAGGCAGUCAGUCUGAGGGAACAGAGCAGGUAGUCAGGUCUCCAUUAGAGGACUUCAGAGGAAAACAUAAGAACAGGUAAAAAAAAAAAAAAAAAUUCUUGAAGGACCUCAUGCUCUCGUCCUGUUAGUUUUUAAAGCUGCACCAAUGUCAGCAUCAGUUGCCCUACAACAUUCCCUGAUCUAAUGGUGCACUUGACGCUGGCAUUAUAGGGCGUCGGGUGCCUUGCCACCCUAUAACGCCAGCAUGCACAAACUGUGAUGGUUAGGAUUCAGCUCACUGUUGUUGCCCAGUCAGGAAACAUAUUUUUGCACUUUGAGAUCGAUAUCAGAGGUAAAGUGCUAUGCAAAUGUAAUGUAUGAUCCCGGGAUUUCGAGAUCGGCCAAAAUGUCCGGGAUUAGGCUUUUGCAUUCUACAGUUGCCAGUAGUACAGUAGUAUCUCUCACGGAGGAGCAGGAAUUUUCUUAGCAAUUCUAAAACGCACACAUCAAUCGAUCACGUUUAGCGUUCAUGUAAACACUACAUUCAGAUUCACCAAUCAGAAUGAAUUCAGUUAGAUUGAAACAAAAUGUGUGCAUGUAAACAAUGACAAUUUUUGCGUCAUCUGAGGAUUUUUUCCAGACAAAAAAUACAUAAAUCUCUCAUCUCAGGGGGAUAUGAGGGAGGAAAGCAUGGUAAUUUGAAAAUACUACUGGUUUUCUACUAAUACAAAGCUUAAUGCUAAAUCCUGAGAAUCCCAUUAAUGAUUGUUUGUGAAAAACAAAAUCCUAUAGUUUAGAGAAAAGUUUACAAUUAUAUAAAAUUUUAUUGUCACAGAAACAAUGCAAUUGUGCAAAACAGACCAGCAUAGUUUAUUAUAUUUCCCUUGUUCAUGAGUUGUGUUGUUUAUUUUUUAGGCCUCAUAGCAUUCAUCCUGCAGUGAGAGAGGGGAUAAGAGAGCAAAUCCUGAGCUUCCCACGCCAACCGAACCACUACGGAUGAAGGGAGAUGUGGAGAGGGAGUACCUGAGCCCUGAUUUAAACCUGCUCCGCAUGUUCCGCCUGUACAAGGAAAACAAUCCAGCAUCCACUGCAAAGUUCUGGCUCUAUAGGGACAUCUUCAAGCAGCAAAACCUCAGUUUUGGGCAGCCAAGAAGUGAUACUUGUGCAAAAUGUGACGCCCUGUUCUCAAAAUUAGUAGCUACUACAACAGAUGGAGAAAGGUUGAAGAUCACAGCCAAGAGUGAGCUUCACCACCAGAAAGCCGAAAAAGCAUACACCUAGUUGCAGGCUGACACAGAGUGGGCCAAAGCCAAUGAUGACUGCCAUGUCAUUUGUAUCGACAUGCAGGGGGUAGUGUACACGCCAAACCUGACACACUCCAACGUGUACUAUCAACGGCAGCUGGCCAACUACAACCUCUGUAUCCAGGAGAUGGGCACUGACAAACCUCCUACAAUGUGCCUCUGGCAUGAGGGCAUCGCUCACAGAGGUUCCAUCGAGGUGGCAAGCUGUCUUUUGAAGUGGGCAGAAACAUCUUUCGCUCCCCUAGUCCAGGCAAAGGAACGGAAGCUCAUCAUCUAUAGUGACCGAUGCUGUGGGCAGAACAACAACUGGCGAGUCCUAAACCUCAUGGCCCUACUCGUAUCUAGAGGGUACUUCAGUCAGAUAGAGCAGAAGUUCAUGGUGUCUGGUCACUCCUUCCUUCCCUGUGACCGUUCAUUUGCCACGCUGGACAAGAGGCGUAAGGUGUCCACACUCCACACCCCAGCGAUGUCGCCGAGAUGAUCCGUGGAGCCAGGCAGCUGCAUCCAUUUAAAGUAAUUGAGAUGAAAUGUGCGGACUUCAGGCAGCUCCCUGAUGCAACAUUAAAGCAUCCACCUGGCUUCCUAAUCACAUCCAUGAUGUGGUUGAAAGUGACAGCUACUGAUCCAUGGUGUGUCCACACAAAAGGGAGCCACAGCCUCUACGAGGGAUGGAAGCAUUGGCUGAUCACCAAACAGAGGAAGAAUCAACCACCUCCAGCUCCCUUGUUCUCCACCACGUAUGCUCGUGCUUACGAGGACCCUUUGCCCAUCAAGAAGGAGAAGCACCGUGACCUUAUGAAAAUGCUAGCCUACAUGCCAGCGGAGGCCCAAGCAUUUUAUGGGACAUUAGAAUGUGAAGAGUAGCCUGGUAUGUGUAGGUCAUGUGCAGGGAAAGGUGGGAUAUAUUGUGUAUAUUGUGUGAAAUUAAUCAUAAAAGUAGUUGUAGCUUAUCUUGUAUGCCUUAUCUUAUGUUGUAUAAUAGGAAUAUAUAGGUAUUUAUUUUAUUUUAUUUAGAACCAAAAAAAGGAAGACGUAUAUGGUAAACUAGCAUAUAGAACCAGCACGGAAUGAAGAUGAUGUAUGUCUCUAUUGUAAAUAUGUAUUGUUUACCAUUAUUACUGUUUAUUGUUUGUAUUUAUUGUUUAUUGUAUGUACGGUUUGUUUGUACUGACGUUUAUUUUCUGUACUAUAAGUAGGCCUAUGUAUUGUUCAUUGUUCGUACCGUAUUGUCCGCGUUUUUGUUCUGUGAUUUACGUUGGCAAAAAAUAAAAAAAAUUGAAAGAAAGAAAUGCUUAAUAUUUUCUUUAAGGUUCUGUUACUGUAUUAAAACUAAGAUAAAGGAAUCAAAUCUCCAGUGGUUUAAAUUGAUAUGAUUAAUUGGACUUAUACUGUUAUUCCACAUUAACUGGACAUAUACUGUUCUUCCACAUUCCAGAAAUGUAAAUUACUCUAACUUUUUAUUUUUAAGAUUGAUACUAAAAAAUCCUGUCUCAUUAGAAUUGGGAAGCUUUUGUUGUCUAUCUUCAAGUAAAAAAAAAAGAAAAAAGUAAUAUAAUAUUCAGUCCAAAUUAAAAAAAAAUGUAUUAUUCAAAAAUUGAAAAUAUGGACUUAUAUGGUUCUUCGUCUCAAGCCCUCAAUUAUAGGACCUAAAAACUCAAGCAUGUAAUAACCUAGAACGUUGUCUAAGACUUGAUGGCUGCUCUGU